CACACACAGGAAUACCUAGAAGAAUCUAUCAAAGUCCUUGUGGUCACUUUUAAAAAUGACAAAGAAAUUUGCAAAAAAAUUCUGGAUGUUAAGAGUGCUCGAGAUCUUAUUGCUCAAAGUCUAGCUCAGCAUACUGGCUGUGUGCCUGAUAGAUUAUUGAAAUAUAGCAAUGAUUUCAUGGAAUAUAUAGAUGUAGAUAGCAAUGUGGACGUGAAGGACUUUGAUAGAUUCCAGGUCUUCCUCUCAGCCAGAGGGUGCCAUGGCCACAAGGAGACCAGUGAAGUUUAGUCAAUCACUAACACGAAAGAGCAUGAUCCAGUCAACACUGACAAACUACGGUCACUACUUCAGAAGAAGGCCCCACAAAUUCUUAGAGAAUAUGAAACGACAGGUAUUCUAUCAGUGCCUUCAAGGAAACUCCUGGUGAAGACCUGUGUUGGAGAUCUGGUGGAGAGGUGUGGUUUUUACCCUGUUGGUGCAGAGAAGCUUGCUUUGGCAAAACACAUCAUCACCACCUUCCCAUCCCUGAGUGUCAAAGUUGCAGGAAAAGGAGAAGGAUUUG